UAUGUUGCGGCUGGCAGAGGAGGAGAUGGUAACACCUGUGAGUGUUUAUAACGUCCCAUCUCCUUCACAGCUGCUCCUAUUCAAAACACCUCGCCGGCGUAAUAAUUUCAUAAAAUUUCAUGAUUUACCAUCUGCUCGUGCCGGUUUGGGCUUCGGCAAUAAGCUUGUGCGUGGCGCCCGGCCCAGAAAGGUACAAUAACUGUAUAUUUUAACUUAAUGGUUUUUUGGGGGGCAUGCAAAUUUCUGUGAGCAGAUUGUGUUGAGGCCUGGGCUUGGAGCGGCCUCCCUGAGCCCCAGAAGCCCCCCGGAGCACCCCCCGGCUCAGUGAAGGUUGCCUGUGUCAAAAUCGAGAUAUCAAACACCAAGUGCCCAAAGACAAGAUGGAGAAACCAAGGCUUAGUGACGUGGCUUCCUGGAGUUCAUGCAGCUGGUUUGUGAACCUGGGAUCAUUUCGUGGCUAGGCUGGCUGGCCAGUGGGCUCUGGGCACCCUCCCAUUGAUACCCAUCUAGAGCUGGUGGAUGACAAGCAUGCCCUCACCUGGUUUUGGCUUCGAUGGUCUCUCACUGAACUUGGAGCUCUCUGACUUAGAGACUGGCUGGCUGAGAAAGCCCCCAGGAUUCACCUGUCUUUACCUCAGGACUGGAGUGAUCGGCACACACUGCCACACCAGCUUCUCCCCGCUCCAAUGUUUGCAGUAUCAGUCAGCGCCUGUCACUCUAAUCAGGUUUCGGCAUGUUCGAGAAAGCGGAGCGUCAUUUAUAAGGAUAAGGCCUCAUAAUGGUGCUUGCUUUCAUGUGGAGAAUUCUACAAGGCUGCUUUUAAUAAGGGGUUCCAGUCUGCCGCUGGCUUCUGAGUGUGCUCAGUUUCCCGCACUGUGUGAUUUGGGGUUCAGAGCAGAAGGGCCUCUUAUGUUGCUGUGACCAUCUCAAAGGGACAAUGAUGACGCUCUUCACCAAAAUGGGAACCCCCCCCCACAAGAGCCACAUUGUAGGCACAGCAUACAAACUAUUCUUUGAGGACUGAAUUGACUUCUGGUGCCUGCCGGACAUCCAAGUAACAGCCAGAUGAUGAGCAUUUAGAGAAUUAACGGAGCUCAGAGGAGCCACCAGGGUGAGGUACUCUCACGUGCUGAGCAAAUGUAGGUGUGGAUAAGAUUGCCACAGUCACAUACGUGGUGUUGGGAAGGCGUGGCUGUGCCUGAGGAUGCUUACACAGAGGAGAUGGACUCCAGUGGACCUCAGACGUUGGCCCCACAGAGGAGAGCAAGGAGGAGGGAUCAGGGGGAGCCAGUGGUGGGCGUCAUCUAGUAAUACAGAGAAGCUUCAUGGGGUGAGAUGAGCCUGCUUGGUGGAUGUGUCUACGCAGAGUCACCUCAGAUAUAACCCAUGUUCAUGGGACACCCAGUAACUGCUGCACCUGUUCUGCUGAGAGCCGGGGAAACGUUACAGGGAGGCCCUAGGUUGAUUUGGACAUAAAAGUCCCCUACAGGUUUAUAUGUUUGAAUACUUGUCCCCAGUUGGUGACUGUUUGUGGAAGUUUAGAACCUUUGGUGGGGGGAGGUUGGCUGGAAGAAGUGGAUCUCUGGAGGGGUGAGCCCUAAGGUUACUAUUCCAGCCCUGUCUCCUGUCCUCUCCCGGCUUCCUGGUCCAUGGAGAUGCCAACGGGGGGCGGGGGGCUCAGGAGCCUGCUGCCCUACCUCCCCCUCCACGAUGGACUGUCCUACAGCUGAGCCAACCCUCCUGCCCUUGAGUGGCAUCUUGUCAAAUACCUGGUCAAAAUGGCAAGAAAGGUAACAAAUCCAGCCUAUCAACCAGAGCUGUAGUGUGGUAACAUGUCCCAUUGCUAGGGGUGUGGAUGAAACUGGGUGGCCAGUGCCAGGCUGUGGGCAGCGGGUAUGAAAUGAAUUAGACACUCACCAGCUGCCCAUCUGGAUCUGAGCUCUAGAGCAGUGGUUCUCAACCUGUGGGUCACAGGUCGCCUAAGACCAUCAGGAAACACAGAUGUUUACAUCAUGAUUCAUAACAGUAGGAAAAUUACAGUUAUGAAGUAGCAACAAAACUAACUUUAUGGUCAGUGGUGACCACAUCCUGAGGAACUGUAUUAAAGGGUCACAGCAUCAGGAAGAUUGAGAACCGCUGCUCUAGAGAGCAAGAAGAAAGACACGGCCCAUGGUACCCACAGAGGAAAAAAAGCAAACCCUCCGUCAUUUGUUCCUGAGUGUCUAGCUGGUCCUACCAGGGCUGGCUCAGGAGGGGACAAAGCCAUGUCACACUGGUCAGUGCCAACCCCACCCUUCUUCCUGCCUUCUCCUUUGUCCUUCACUCCAUCCUUCCUGCUGCCUUCCUGCAUUCCUUCCUCCCCUCCCCCUCCUAGGUUCUCUGGCAACGUGGCCAAAAGGGAAAUCCAGUUGCAGCCCCAUGAUCCAAGGUGUCCAUAAUGUGUGUGGCUCUCUGGUGGACCAGCUCACCCCUGACUUGGACCCAGCUCUCUGCUCCAUCACCCUCACCUCUGAUGUCUUCUGCCUCAAUGGAACCAAGCACUGGGUCUCCUAGUACCCAGAUGCAUCCACUGCCCCAGACCCAAAGCCCCCUGCCCUGGGCAGUGCGGAGUCCCUGGGCCUCCUGAAGGAGGUGCAGGUCGCCCUGGCAGGGCUGGGUGCAUAGCCUGGCACCUCCAGAGCCCUGUCAGCUGUCUCCUGUGUUCUGUGUGGUGGUGUCCCCCGGCAAUGUCAGUGCACUAUUCAGGCUGACAGAAAUCCCACCGAUAAUUGGGAAAAGUGGAAAAUGAAAACAUUAAAAUUUGCCAUGUCAUCUGUUCCCUUUUUCUGAUUGCCUGAUCCCCACCGUCCACUGACAGGUGCCGCGUUAUUAACACUUGAUUAAAAAUCACUUCAGGUUUGAACCAGCCCGUCGAGAAGGGAGCGCCUUGACAGGACUUGUGCUUCCUGAUUGACAAUUAGUAAUAUUCAGUGUGUCACAACACAGAUAGUGUGACUUAUUGGCACUGGUGUAACGCAACACAUUUCAUCUGAGCGCCUCAGAUUCGUACAUAGGAAUCAGAAGGAAAAGAUGGAGUCUCAGCCAGCCGCCUUUGAUUACCAACAAAGGUGAGAUUAUACCUCCCUGGCUCUCACCGACCCGGAGUUCCAUCAAUCAGAGCCGCAGAGAUCCCAGGCUCCUCUCCGGAAAGGGAACCCCCGGACCCCAAGCUCAUUAUGCAGCCUCAACUUCUCCACCGGCAGCCUGGUCCCUCCUGUCUGCAGAUAUGAAAGAUCUUCACCCUGACGCCGCGCCUGUGCGCUAAAUUACCAGCCCGCUCCUCUUAAAACAAAAGGCUUCUCAUUUUAAAAGAAUAAAACCAUCAUGUCUUGA